GUGCACGGAGUGCGUAAUCCGGAGCGGACGACAUUGCGACAUAUAAAUGACAAGGACACUCCCAUAUUUAGCACGUCUUAACAUAUGGGUGAACAAUGGCAACUGUGGCCAGGGUGGUGCAAAGGUGGUGCAAAGGUGGUGGUUUCCAAUGGAU
rnacentral:sRNA from 1 species